rnacentral:miRNA from 1 species
AGCUGCUAGCUGCACUCCACA